rnacentral:rRNA from 1 species
GAUGAACGCUGGCGGCGUGCCUAAUACAUGCAAGUCGAGCGAACGGACGAGAAGCUUGCUUCUCUGAUGUUAGCGGCGGACGGGUGAGUAACACGUGGAUAACCUACCUAUAAGACUGGGAUAACUUCGGGAAACCGGAGCUAAUACCGGAUAAUAUUUUGAACCGCAUGGUUCAAAAGUAAAAGACGGUCUUGCUGUCACGUAUAGAUGGAUCCGCGCUGCAUUAGCUAGUUGGUAAGGUAACGGCUUACCAAGGCAACGAUGCAUAGCCGACCUGAGAGGGUGAUAGGCCACAUGGGAACGGGGACACGGUCCAGACUCCUACGGGAGGCAGCAGUAGGGAAUCUUACGCAAUGGGGGAAAGCCUGACGGAGCAACGCCGCGUGAGUGAUGAAGGUCUUCGGAUCGUAAAACUCUGUUAUUAGGGAAGAACAUAUGUGUAAGUAACUGUGCACAGCUUGACGGUACCUAAUCAGAAAGCCACGGCUAACUACGUG